AAACCCUGUCGGCUCUGCCCACUCAGCUUCUCACCGCACAGCUCAAGGCGGCUAAGCUGGAGCACUUUGUUGCCAUCUGGUCGGCGGGUGGCGCGCUUUGUGAAGUGGAGGAGGUUCAGGGUGGGUCACCGAAGUUGAACUUGCGGCUGACGCUUGCAUCACCUGUGCAGGCCCCCUAGGUUUCCUUUUGGGCGGCGGUUCAUUCCAGGCGCUGGCGUGGCGUUUAUCGUCAUCAGCUUAUCUGGCGCCCAUGUGUUUUAGCUCUGGCUGGCGUCGCAGCGCCUGGGCGGCUGUGGGACUUCCUGCACAGCGCGUCUUGCAGCGGGCUGGAGCCCGCCUAGUCAGCGCCACAUCUGGCCCGUUUAGUUUUCUGCUUGUGUCUCCUCUGCCGGUUCUCCUGGGGUGUUGCUUAAGCAACCGACUUGUGGGGGUGGGGUGGGUUUGGGCGGGGCGAGUGCGUAGCGCUGGUGUUUCCUCUUCUGGCGUGCGGUGGUGGUGGUUCUUGCGGUUAGGCUGUGGUGUAAGCUGGUGCUUGGGUUAGGUCUGGCGGUGUUUUUGUGCAACCCCUCCCGGGGGGCGGGGGGGCCAGCCUUCUGCUCUGUCUGCC
rnacentral:lncRNA from 1 species